rnacentral:rRNA from 1 species
GAUGAACGCUGGCGGCGUGCCUAAUACAUGCAAGUCGAGCGAAAAGAUCAUGAUCUUGCGCCUCGGACGUGAGCCGCGGACGUGUGUGUAACACGUGUAUAACCUACUUAUAAUACUGGUAUAACUUCGGGAAUCCGGAUCUAAUACCGGAUAAGAUAUUGAAGCACGUGGGGGAAUGGUAAGAUUCGGUGGUUGGGGCUCGUAUAGCGGCAUCUCGGCCUCAUUGGGUAGUUGGUAAGUUAAAGGCUUACCAAGGGAAGCAGGCGUAAACGACCGAAGAGGCUGAUCGGCGACCCGGGAACUGAGCCACGGUCAAGACUACUACGAGACGCAGCAGUCGCGAAUCUUCCGCAAUGGGCGAAAGCAUGACGCAGCAACGCCGCGUGAGUGAUGAAGGUCUUCCGAUCGUAAAACUCUGCUACUAGGGAAGAACAUCUGUGUACGUAACUGUGCCCAGCGUGACGGUAAUUAAUCAGAAAGCACCGGCUAACUACGUG